rnacentral:rRNA from 1 species
GAUGAACGCUGGCGGCGUGCCUAAUACAUGCAAGUCGAGCGAACAGACGAGGAGCUUGCUCCUCUGACGUUAGCGGCGGACGGGUGAGUAACACGUGGAUAACCUACCUAUAAGACUGGGAUAACUUCGGGAAACCGGAGCUAAUACCGGAUAAUAUAUUGAACCGCAUGGUUCAAUAGUGAAAGACGGUUUUGCUGUCACUUAUAGAUGGAUCCGCGCCGCAUUAGCUAGUUGGUAAGGUAACGGCUUACCAAGGCAACGAUGCGUAGCCGACCUGAGAGGGGGAUCGGCCACACUGGAACUGAGACACGGUCCAGACUCCUACGGGAGGCAGCAGUAGGGAAUCUUCCGCAAUGGGCGAAAGCCUGACGGAGCAACGCCGCGUGAGUGAUGAAGGUCUUCGGAUCGUAAAACUCUGUUAUUAGGGAAGAACAAAUGUGUAAGUAACUAUGUACGUCUUGACGGUACCUAAUCAGAAAGCCACGGCUAACUACGUG